AUUGAACGCUGGCGGCAUGCUUUACACAUGCAAGUCGAACGGUAACAGGUCUUCGGAUGCUGACGAGUGGCGAACGGGUGAGUAAUGUAUCGGAACGUGCCCAGUAGUGGGGGAUAACUACUCGAAAGAGUGGCUAAUACCGCAUGAGAACUGAGGUUGAAAGCGGGGGACCUUCGGGCCUCGCGCUACUGGAGCGGCCGAUAUCAGAUUAGGUAGUUGGUGGGGUAAAGGCCUACCAAGCCGACGAUCUGUAGCUGGUCUGAGAGGACGACCAGCCACACUGGGACUGAGACACGGCCCAGACUCCUACGGGAGGCAGCAGUGGGGAAUUUUGGACAAUGGACGCAAGUCUGAUCCAGCAAUGCCGCGUGCAGGACGAAGGCCUUCGGUGUAACCGACUUUGUCAGGAGAAAACUUACAAGCUAAUAU
rnacentral:rRNA from 1 species